rnacentral:SRP_RNA from 1 species
CCAUACCAGCCGGGGAAUUAGCGGAGCCCUGUACCUGAAAUCCGCUACAGCAGGGGUUCAUUCCUUUUUUGAGGGCUGAGCUUUUAUGGUCUGUGUCGUAUUCUGCUGUGUUGAGAAGUGGGUCUUGCGCAAACGGAAACUGUGAAGCGUGUCAGGUGGGGAACCAAGCAGCACUAAGCAGUCUCUCCGGUGUGCCGCGAGGGUGCCUGCUUUGAGCAGUGGGUAUGUACGUCGCAUAGGGGCGAUGUUCGAUUUUAAGGUGUAUGG